rnacentral:rRNA from 1 species
AAAGGUAGCAUAAUCAUUAGUUUUUUAAUUGAAAACUCGUAUGAAUGGCUAAACGUAAAUUUAACUUUCUUUAUAUUAAAUAUUUCGAAUUUGGUUUUUAAGUAAAAAAACUUAAGUUUUUUUAAGGGACGAGAAGACCCUAUAGAAUUUUAGAAAUAUUAUGAUUUUUAAUUUUUGGUUGGGGUGACUAAGAAUAAACAUUUUUAAAUUUAUUCAUUUUAAAUGAAUGUAAGAUCCUUUAUUGAAGAUAUUAAGAUAAAGUUACCUUAGGGAUAACAGCAUAAUUUUUUUUAGAAGUUCAUAUUUAUAGAAAAGAUUAUGACCUCGAUGUUGAAUUAAGAUAACAAAUUGGUGCAGGAGUUAAUUUGUUAAGUCUGUUCGACUUUAAAUUUUACGUGAUUUGAGUUCAAACCGGCGUGAGCCAGGUCGGCUUC